rnacentral:rRNA from 1 species
AUGAUGAUCACCUCUCCCUCCUCCGCCAAACGCGGUAGCUGCCCUGUGAGCUACGUACAGGUAUGCGCUCCGCCCGCGAAGGAGAUCUCGCCGGUGCCGGAGGAAGGCGAACGCGUCGUCUUCCGGUCGCAUUUCCUUCGCGGCUUUGGCCUGCCGGCAAGAGGCUUCCUCCGGUCCUUCCUUCAGUUCUACCGCCUCCAGCCGCACCACCUCACACCGAACACGGUGGUGCUGCUAGCCGCCUUCGUUACUCUCUACGAGGGUUACCUCGGCGUUCUCCCCACCCUCGAGCUCUGGGGAGAGUUCUUCUACACCAAGCUCGGCACCGCCGUCAAGGCGGAGGCGGCCCAGUGCGGAGCCUUCGUCGCGGUGCGUCAUCCGAGCUCCCGGAACUGCUUCCCGUCCAUCAGCUUGACGCAGUCGGUCAAGCUGUGGCAAAAAUCAUACUUCUAUGUCAAGAAUGUCCACCCGACGCUGGACUUCAUCAAUCUGCCGGCUUAUACAGCCGGCCCGCCGACUGAGCUCCCGCACCAACUGGACCUUCAAGCCGAGGACGCUGUCGGCCGCCUCCACUACCGCCAUCGCCCGGAUCAAGGUGAUGACGGAGUCGGAGGGCCUCAAGGGGUCGGACCUACUCACCGCCUUCGUGGUGCGCCGGGUGCUCCCUCUUCAAGGCCGGCCCCACAUGAUCAGUCGGAUGGGCGGGCAUCGAGACCUGUGCCGGAUGUGCACCAAGCAGAUGCCGGACGUGGAGGUGGCCCUUCUGGUGAACCACAUCUCGAACUGCAAGCUCUCGGAGGAGGAGUGGCAGUUCGGCAACCGGCCAUACUCCCGUGCAGACCCGCCGCCCGCGGUGAGUCUUUGAUUCUUCUUUCUCUUUAUAUGCCGGGCUCUGCCUUUGCCGCCUGA